rnacentral:lncRNA from 1 species
GUUGGUCAGAGCCACACGGGGGCUGCGACGUGAGGGGAGGCGCUCAGCCUGGGGGCGCUGGUGACCAGCACGUCUUCUGCACAAACUCUGAGCCUUCUCGCCAACGCCUCAACCUCGGCCUUGGACUUGAACAAGCACUAACAUACUUUCUAACAGCUCAAGGCUGCGUUCCUGGGAUGACUCCCGUCCCCUUAAAGUGCUGCCUGGGAAGAACUCAAGGCUGCCAAGAGAAUUCACUGUUUGUUCCAGCCAACACCUGAUGACAGCCACCUGCCACCGCUGCCUGCCUCCCAGCCUCUGGGGGAGCGCAGCAGCCUGACUUUGGUGAGUACCGGGGAGCAAACCCCGAUGGGGUUCACAUGGACUGACCCGCCUUCCCUCCUCCUAUAAGUUUUCACUGCCCUGUCUCUGCUCAAGCCCCUGCUACCCUGCAGUCACCUCCGCACACAUGCAAGGGCUUCAGCUCUUUCCCCAGCUGGCAGCCGUUGCCAAAUAAAAUCCAUUCUCACUGCUUCAGCUAAUCUCUCAUGGUGGGAUGUGUGGUCAGGCAGGAUGUGUGGAUGAAGGGAUGCUGCACCAGGGCCUGGGCAGGCCCCAGCUCAUGCACAGGACACACGGAGUCCAAAGAACAGGAAGACGCUUGAUGAGGGCGGAAAAGCCAGUCUGGAAGGGAAUCGACCUGCUGAAGGAGCACAGAUACAUUUUAUUUAUACCCCACCAUGUUCCGGGAAGGUUUCUAGAAGACUUUAUAAGGAUUCAUAAAAUGCAGCAUCAUAAUGAAAGCUGCUAAACAAUCCGGUGUUUGUGCUGAGCUGGACUGAUUCAGACUGAGUAACAGGAAGACACAGGCGAACUUCAGAGGUCACACUUCCUGGAGGACAGGCUGCAGGUGGGUUAUGAGCCAUGCAUGCCACACUGGGGUCUGUUUCUACUAUGCCCUGGGCUGGGCUGGGCCUCAGGAGACGCAAGGGCCACUCCCAGCUCCACGAGUCACUAGAACAGAGUCACAAAGUUCCUUUUUAAAAGCCGUGCAAUGACUGAGCAUCUACUGUGGUCAAGGCAUGCCCUGAUGGGUACAGGCUCCAGAUGUGAACAAGACAGACAUUGCCUCUGUCUUCGGGGAACUCACAGUCCAGUGAGUAAGGCAGAUGUUAAGGAAAGAAAUAUAAGCAUAAUAAACAAGUUACAGGUGCUAUGAGGGUAAAAAGA